GCUUCUGUCGUGAGUGGCACACGUAG
rnacentral:piRNA from 1 species